UUAAUAAGCAAAAUUAUUUUGUAAAAUCAUCCUUUAGUAAGAUGCCUAGGACUUUCUUCUUCAAUUUGAUCAUAUUUCUAUAGAUUAAAAUUUUUUUAUAGCUGGAAAAGACAGGCACUAAAUUUUGGCAUUAGUUCCAUUCCUAAUGUGCAUGUUAGGAUUUUUAUUUUAUCUUUUGCAUAACCAGAUUUCAACAGGUUAUUCAGAUAUAUCUUAAAAGCAUGAUGGAGAGAUGAAUCUUUAAGAAUUAUUAUAUAUAGUUAUAUGUUUGUUGCUUCAUUUCAUGAUUAAAAGUAUUAAUUUAUGAUAAUGCAUUAGAUAGAACAAGCACAUCCUAUUAACAUCUUAGAGGGAGGAAUCCAUCCUAAUGACCAAAGUUGAUUUUCUGUAGUUCACAACAUGUAAUCUGGAAACAUUUUGUUCUAGCCCAUACUUAAGUGGAUAUUAAGAAUGCAAUUCAAUCAACUUUGUAGAAAUUAACAGCAAAAAAAAAAAGUAUUAGUCAUUAUUAAGCAUGUGCUUAUAAAAAGUGUACUUUUUACAGGAAAAUCUAUAACAUAUUCCUGUUAAUUUAAAUAUAAUAGAUGAAUCAUGUAAAUAUAUAAAAUAGUGGAUAAGUAGUUGAGUAACAAUAAGCCAGAGGCUUUCCUCCAGGUAAAAUAAUAAGUGUGUAUUUACCAUACUCAGUGAACUUGCAGCAACAGUUAAUGAGAUGUAUAUCUUCCAACUCUGAGUAAAUAUUUACAAAUUUUAAAAAUUUAUAUAUUUUUUCCAAUAUGUAUAUUUUUUUAUUCAUGAGUUAAUUUUGAUCAUAAGUCAACUUUUAAAAAAAUCUUUGCUCUCCUUCAGAUCAUGCAGAGCAUGCCAUUGGAGACACAGACUACCUCAUGGACAGUGGCAGUGCACACUGUGGCUUUGGCUGUAUUAUUAGAGCUCGUCCUAGCUAUGGCCCUCCUUACGUCCUUAUCCAAACUGGGUCUUCUGUAAAAUAGAACUUACAAUCAUUGAGUCUUUGAGUAUCCCUCAUAUACAAAUUUUAAUGUAUGCCUUUUUCUACAGAUUUCUUUCUAAAAGGGAUUAUAGUUAUUUUCAAUUGAUACCAUGAUCAUCUUGUUUAACUUUUUCUCCUUAAAUCUUUCCUCUUACUCUUUCAGAAAAUUUUAACAAUUAAAAAAUCCAUACAUUUUAAAAGAUGUAUUUUUCACAGAAAAAUUUAAAUAGAAUUGUUUAAUGAUUUUGAAAGGAUAAAAUGGUCUCAAUGCUAACUUUUUUUUUCAAAUCAUGUACCAUGUUGCUGUAGUUUUCUUUUUCUAGUUUAAUUCUUUUGAAAAUCAUGAUUCAGAUUGCAGAUGCAGUCACAGCAGGCUCUCUUUCCAAGGUAUGGGUCAAUCCAUCAGGACAUAUGCAGUUGCCUGUUCUCAAAAACCAGUCUCAGCAAGAAAUGAGCAAUGGAAUUUUAUUAAUCCAAGGCAGAAUUUUAUAAAACAGGUUGUAAUUUUAGGAUCUACUUUGUAUAUCCCCUUGAGUUUGGUAUAUUGAUUCUUUAAUAUUAUUUUGUUUUUCUACAUGAUAAGAAAUAUGAAGAAUCUUAAUUUUUUUCUUAGUAAAGGUAAAGCAUAAUUAUGUAAAAAUUGAGGAAGGAGAAAGAAUAAAACAUAUCUUUGGAAGCAUGUCUAUGGUUUGGAGCACAGAUUUAGGGUGUAAUUGACUAGGUUCAAAUCUCAGAUUCACCAGGAACUAUAUGACCUUGGGAAUGUGACUUGUCUGUGCUCCUGUUUCUUCAGUUGUAAAAUGAAGAUGAUGUCAAUAGUAGCCAUACUACAUAUAGGCUUGCUGUGAGAUGAAAUGAGUCACCCAGAAAAACUAUCUGGCUCCAGAAAGUAUUCAGAACUAUUUGCCUGGAGUCAUCUACAAAGAAUUUAUUCCCCAUCAAGGUCAUUUAUCGGGAUAUUUUAAUCAUGACAACCAUUAGAGCACCUCUCCACCUCCAGUUUGGUGUACCUUCUUACAUAUGAAAACAUUCUUGAACUACCCAUUUAAAUUUGGAAAUUCCCAUUUUGGAGUCCUACUCAUCUUAUGCUAACUUCUGGUGCAAUUACCUUAGUGAUGGAGCCAAAAAGCAAGGAGUCAUUACUGGACUGAAUCCUCUGUUGUUGACAUUCCACAUCCCAUCAAUCAGAAAUUCCCCUCUGACUCAAUCUUCACUUCCACUUGCCUCACCCUGGCUUGGUCCACCAACAUUGUUUUUUUUGUUUGUUUGUUUUUUUGUUUUGUCUUUUUGCCAUUUCUUGGGCCAAUGCCGCAGCAUAU